rnacentral:tRNA from 1 species
GGACCCUUAACUCAGUGGUAGAGUGUUUCAUUCACAUUGAAAAAGUCGCAAGUUCGAAUCUUGCAGGGUCCA